UACGGAGGAUCCAAGCGUUAUCCGGAUUUAUUGGGUUUAAAGGGUGCGUAGGUGGCCUGGUAAGUCAGGGGGGAAAGACGGUAGCUUAACUAUCGCAGUGCCUUUGAUACUGCCGGGCUUGAAUGAACUAGAGGUAGGCGGAAUGUGACAAGUAGCGGUGAAAUGCAUAGAUAUGUCACAGAACACCGAUUGCGAAGGCAGCUUACUAUGGGUUUAUUGACACUGAGGCACGAAAUCGUGGGGAUCAAACAGG
rnacentral:rRNA from 1 species